rnacentral:rRNA from 1 species
UACAGAGGUCUCAAGCGUUGUUCGGAUUCAUUGGGCGUAAAGGGUGCGUAGGUGGCGCCGUAAGUCAGGUGUGAAAUUUCGGAGCUUAACUCCGAAACUGCAUUUGAUACUGCGGUGCUUGAGGACUGGAGAGGAGACUGGAAUUUACGGUGUAGCAGUGAAAUGCGUAGAGAUCGUAAGGAAGACCAGUGGGGAAGGCGGGUCUCUGGACAGUUCCUGACACUGAGACACGAAGGCCAGGGGAGCAAACGGGGAG